GCCGGCGUGGCGAAAUGGCAGACGCAGUUGACUCAAAAUCAACCGGGGAGACUCAUGUCGGUUCGACUCCGACCGCCGGCA
rnacentral:tRNA from 1 species